rnacentral:rRNA from 1 species
AGAACGAACGCUGGCGGCAUGCCUAACACAUGCAAGUCGAACGCUCACCGGGCUUCGGUUCGGUGGGAGUGGCGCACGGGUGAGUAGCGCGUGGGAACCUGCCCUGUUGUGGGGGAUAACCGAGGGAAACUUCGGCUAAUACCGCAUACGCCCCGGGACUUGGUCUUCGGAUUAGGUCUGGGGGGAAAGAUUGAUCGCAGCAGGAGGGGCCCGCGUCGGAUUAGCUGGUUGGUGGGGUAACGGCUCACCAAGGCGAUGAUCCGUAGCCGGACUGAGAGGUUGGCCGGCCACAUUGGGACUGAGACACUGCCCAGACUCCUACGGGGGCUGCAGUAACGAAUCUUCCGCAAUGCACGAAAGUGUGACGGAGCGACGCCGCGUGUGGGACGAAGCCCUUCGGGGUGUAAACCACUGUCAGGGGUUAGAAAGUUCUGAUCAACCCAGAGGAAGGCACGGCUAACUCUGUGCCAGCAGCCGC